UACGGAGGGUGCAAGCGUUAUCCGGAUUCACUGGGUUUAAAGGGUGCGUAGGCGGGCAGGUAAGUCAGUGGUGAAAUCUCCAAGCUUAACUUGGAACUGCCGUUGAUACUAUCUGUCUUGAAUACUGUGGAGGUGAGCGGAAUAUGUCAUGUAGCGGUGAAAUGACUUAGAUAUGACAUAGAACACCAAAUUGCGAAGGCAGCUCACUACACAGCCAUUGACGCUGAGGCACGAAAGCGUGGGGAUCAAACAGG
rnacentral:rRNA from 1 species